UAAGGUCCCUCUUUCCUGUGGUCCACGCUAAGGAGUCCGCGCUCUUAGGACAGCAGGCCGUGGACGGGCACAAGAAACCCCCGGCUAAGAACACAAAGGGAAAGGGUCACAGGUCACAAAUGCCACGCUGGGCUUACCGGAAAGCAAAACUCAGGAAAGGGAAGAAGGAAGAUCAGGCAUUCAAGGACAUAGCAUUCAACUACAUAGCAAGGAAGCCCUGCCUCAAAGGAGGAAGAGGAGGAGGAGGAAGAGUUCUUUGGUGGAUGUGGGGAAAAGUCGCACGUACAUUCGUGGGAAUGUCUGAGUAAUCAGACAAUACUAACAACCUGAAAAUGGAGCUGUCACUCAGGCUGGGGUCCUGGACGGAAUGAAAAGGGAAAGCAAGCUGAGCACACGUUUGUGGUUCUGCUUCUUGACCGUGGCCGUCGUGUGACCGCCUGCCUCAGUGCCACAUCAUCUCCACCAGCACAGGCUGUGUAGCCUCAGUCGGCGAGCCAACGCACACCCUUCCUGCUCUGAGUGGCUUUCGUUAGGUGUUUUGUCACAUCAACGAGACAAGUAACUAAAGCUGUGCCCGAGAGACAGUCCUUCCCCGACUCAUUGCCCAAACCUUUUUGCUGUGUGAAACCCCACACCGCAGGAAUGAAAAACCACUUGCAUGGACCGUUCCUCAUGCUCUGUUGCUCAUCUGCACUCACUCGCUUUGAUCAUCUUGGCCCUGUCUCCUACACACACACACACACACACACACACACACACACACACACACUUAAAAAGUAAAUCAGUUCCAUAAAGCAGAAAGAGAUGGCAGUCUCGGGGUAAAAGCCAUCACCAGAUUUCCAUUUGUCUCACUUUUACUGUUGGCCAAAGCGAGUUACAAGGUCAAGACUCAAGGGGUGACGUGAAGACUCCGUUUGGUAGAUGAAGCUGCGAUGUUACAUUGCCACUUGCUUUUAUAACACUUUUACCCACACUGUUAUAUAAGAACCGUGUAUCAUGCUUGGUGCCUGGUAGCUAAUCGAUGAUGCUCAUUGCAAGAAUUCAGAAGUAAAAACCUCCUCAAAUGA